rnacentral:rRNA from 1 species
CCAAUAGCGUAUAUUAAAGUUGUUGCAGUUAAAAAGCUCGUAGUUGAAUUUCGGGAUCAAGGGAUCGGUCAUGCCUUGGUAUGUACUGGUCUUAUUGGUUCUCACCUUCUAAAGAACCAUGAUGUCAUUCAUUUGAUGUUAUGGGGAAUUAGGACUGUUACCUUGAAAAAAUUAGAGUGUUUAAAGCAGGCUCACGCUUGAAUACAUUAGCAUGGAAUAAUGAAAUAGGACGUUUGAUUCUAUUUUGUUGGUUUCUAGGAUCGACGUAAUGAUUAAUAGGG